GGGGACGACGUCAGAUCAUCAUGCCCCUUAUGACCUGGGCUACACACGUGCUACAAUGGCGUAUACAACGAGUUGCCAACCCGCGAGGGUGAGCUAAUCUCUUAAAGUACGUCUCAGUUCGGAUUGUAGUCUGCAACUCGACUACAUGAAGUCGGAAUCGCUAGUAAUCGCGGAUCAGCACGCCGCGGUGAAUACGU
rnacentral:rRNA from 1 species